rnacentral:rRNA from 1 species
GAUGAACGCUGGCGGCGUGCCUAAUACAUGCAAGUCGAGCGAACGGACGAGAAGCUUGCUUCUCUGAUGUUAGCGGCGGACGGGUGAGUAACACGUGGAUAACCUACCUAUAAGACUGGGAUAACUUCGGGAAACCGGAGCUAAUACCGGAUAAUAUUUUGAACCGCAUGGUUCAAAAGUGAAAGACGGUCUUGCUGUCACUUAUAGAUGGAUCCGCGCUGCAUUAGCUAGUUGGUAAGGUAACGGCUUACCAAGGCAACGAUGCAUAGCCGACCUGAGAGGGUGAUCGGCCCAACUGGAACUGAGAAACGGUCCAGACUCCUAAGGGAGGCAGCAGGAGGGAAUCUUCCGCAAUGGGCGAAAGCCUGACGGAGCAAAGCCGCGUGAGUGAUGAAGGUCUUCGGAUCGUAAAACUCUGUUAUUAGGGAAGAACAUAUGUGUAAGUAACUGUGCACAUCUUGACGGUAACUAAUCAGAAAGCCACGGCUAACUACGUG